GCCACUGCUGUUGGGGUUCGGCUAAGCCAUGCGAGUGGAGGGCGUCCCGCAAGGGAUGGCCCCGCAGACGGCUCAGUAACACGUCGUCAACCCACCUUAGGGUGGGGGACAACCUCGGGAAACUGAGGAUAAUCCCCCAUAGGCGGGGGAGGCUAGAAUGCGCCCCCGCUGAAAGCUCAGGCGCCCUAGGAUGGGACUGCGGCCCAUCAGGCUGUUGGUGGUGUGACG
rnacentral:rRNA from 1 species